GGUCAGGUGAUGCCCCUAGGUCAUGAGGGAUGAGUGAUCUGGGUCAGGAGGGGUCAGGUGAUGCCCCUAGGUCAUGAGGGAUGAGUGAUCUGGGUCAGGAGGGGUCAGGUGAUGCCCCUAGGUCAUGAGGGAUGAGUGAUCUGGGUCAGGAGGGGUCAGGUGAUGCCCCUAGGUCAUGAGGGAUGAGUGAUCUGGGUCAGGAGGGGUCAGGUGAUGCCCCUAGGUCAUGAGGGAUGAGUGAUCUGGGUCAGGAGGGGUCAGGUGAUGCCCCUAGGUCAUGAGGGAUGAGUGAUCUGGAUCAG